AGUGAACGCUGGCGGUAGGCCUAACACAUGCAAGUCGAACGGCAGCACAGUAAGAGCUUGCUCUUACGGGUGGCGAGUGGCGGACGGGUGAGGAAUACAUCGGAAUCUACUUUUUCGUGGGGGAUAACGUAGGGAAACUUACGCUAAUACCGCAUACGACCUACGGGUGAAAGCAGGGGAUCUUCGGACCUUGCGCGAUUGAAUGAGCCGAUGUCGGAUUAGCUAGUUGGCGGGGUAAAGGCCCACCAAGGCGACGAUCCGUAGCUGGUCUGAGAGGAUGAUUAGCCAAACCUGAAAUGAGAACACGUCCAGACUCCUACGGGGGGCAGCAGUGGGGAAUAUUGGAUAAUGGGCGCAAGCCUGAUCCAGCCAUACCGCGUGGGUGAAGAAGGCCUUCGGGUUGUAAAGCCCUUUUGUUGGGAAAGAAAAGCAGCAGGUUAAUACCCCGCUGUUCUGACGGUACCCAAAGAAUAAGCACCGGCUAACUUCGUG
rnacentral:rRNA from 1 species